CGCGCCUGAAAAAGGAAAGUUCUUUUUCUUCGUCCGCCUCCCUAGGAGCGUCUCUGUUUUGUGUGUGUGGACCUUUCAUUACCCAGACUAGGAAACGUCAUCGGUGCUGAGCUACAAAUAUUGUCCUUUUUUGAGAUUUUGUAAUGUUCUAUGUAUUGCAGCAGUGUUUAUAGUGGAAAGUUUUACAAUAUCUGUCUGCUACACCGUCAAGUUUAAUAGCAUCCCAGAUUCUAUAAGAGCUACUUAACUCGGUCUCCUUGCUUAUCUUCUGUUUCUAAAGGUAGUAUGCAUUGCAGUGGCGGGUUGUUACCGGUUUGCCCCAGUUCGGAUGAACCAAUAGCAGCGGCGCAGGAGGCUCCAACCACCCGCCUGGCCGUCAUCAAAUAUGCUCUGUGCAUGUGCAGAAGUGGCGCGUGAGCGAGUAAACUGGUAGCAAGAAAGCCUGACCCUAAGGAAUGGUUCUGGUGGUGCUAGGGAUUAUGUGAUUCAAUCUCCAGAGUGAACACAUUGAGAUCCAGUUCCAGUAUAAAUGGUGAAAUCCAAUCUAAAGAUGUGUGGCAGCUGAAUCCCUAACAAGGCAGGGCCUUUGCAGUGGAUGGUGGGGGAGAAGGAGGAAAGGACUUAAGGUGUCAGGCACAACUUUGGAGAGAAGCCCUGCACUUUUAUAUGCGCAUACAACACUAGGACACCUACAAAGGUGAUUGGAAGAACUAAGAAACUGGGUUUCCCCUUGAUGGACUAUUGAAUAGGAAAACAAUUCCUAUACUGAGCCUGGGAUUAGAGUAGAUGACUUCUAAAAUCUAUUCCAACUCCAUAUAUCUGUGGUUCUAUGAUGUUAGCCAGUUUGCUCAUGCAAAUGGAAACCAUGUAUCCUCAAAGAUCCACCCACAGAAAAGUGACCAGUCCUUAUUUUUGCAGCAUAUGUGGGAGGGGUAAGUAAGUAUAGGAAUCCACCAAUCGGAGGCCAUAGACAAUGCAAUCAAGAUCGAACACCUGGCCGAUUGGAGUUUUUAACAAGGCAAGAAGUGUUGAAUGACAUAAUUGUUUUAAAAUGAUGGAAUAAAUAGGGUAACAAGAUAAAAUAUUGUUCCAGAAUGACUAUUAAAUUAGAGAACAAAACAUUAUAGUUGAUUAAGGGAUUAAUUGAUUAAAACAUUUGAGCAUAAUUGGAUGAUAAAAUGUAUGAUCAAACUAAUGAUAAGUAAUUGUUGUUUGCACAAAAAAAUAGUAACCCACCCACCGACACAUUGUAUUUAAAAUUUGAAUGGA